rnacentral:rRNA from 1 species
GACGAACGCUGGCGGCGUGCUUAACACAUGCAAGUCGAACGGAAAGGCCCUGCUUUUGUGGGGUGCUCGAGUGGCGAACGGGUGAGUAACACGUGAGUAACCUGCCCUUGACUUUGGGAUAACUUCAGGAAACUGGGGCUAAUACCGGAUAGGAGCUCCUGCUGCAUGGUGGGGGUUGGAAAGUUUCGGCGGUUGGGGAUGGACUCGCGGCUUAUCAGCUUGUUGGUGGGGUAGUGGCUUACCAAGGCUUUGACGGGUAGCCGGCCUGAGAGGGUGACCGGCCACAUUGGGAGUGAGAUACGGCCCAGACUCCUACGGGAGGGAGAAGUGGGGAAUAUUGCACAAUGGGCGGAAGCCUGAUGCAGCAACGCCGCGUGCGGGAUGACGGCCUUCGGGUUGUAAACCGCUUUCGCCUGUGACGAAGCGUGAGUGACGGUAAUGGGUAAAGAAGCACCGGCUAACUACGUG